rnacentral:rRNA from 1 species
GAUGAACGCUAGCGGGAGGCCUAACACACGUAAGCCGAGCGGUAUUGUUUCUUCGGAAAUGAGAGAGCGGCGUACGGGUGCGGAACACGUGUGCAACCUGCCUUUAUCUGGGGGAUAGCCUUUCGAAAGGAAGAUUAAUACUCCAUAAUAUAUUGAACGGCAUCGUUUAAUAUUGAAAGCUCCGGCGGAUAGAGAUGGGCACGCGCAAGAUUAGCUAGUUGGUGAGGUAACGGCUCACCAAGGCGAUGAUCUUUAGGGGGCCUGAGAGGGUGAUCCCCCACACUGGUACUGAGACACGGACCAGACUCCUACGGGAGGCAGCAGUGAGGAAUAUUGGUCAAUGGGUGCAAGCCUGAACCAGCCAUCCCGCGUGAAGGACGACUGCCCUAUGGGUUGUAAACUUCUUUUGUAUAGGGAUAAACCUACCCUCGUGAGGGUAGCUGAAGGUACUAUACGAAUAAGCACCGGCUAACUCCGUGCCAGCAGCCGCGGUAAUACGGAGGGUGCAAGCGUUAUCCGGAUUUAUUGGGUUUAAAGGGUCCGUAGGCGGACUUAUAAGUCAGUGGUGAAAGCCUGUCGCUUAACGAUAGAACUGCCAUUGAUACUGUAAGUCUUGAGUAUAUUUGAGGUAGCUGGAAUAAGUAGUGUAGCGGUGAAAUGCAUAGAUAUUACUUAGAACACCAAUUGCGAAGGCAGGUUACCAAGAUAUAACUGACGCUGAGGGACGAAAGCGUGGGGAGCGAACAGGAUUAGAUACCCUGGUAGUCCACGCCGUAAACGAUGCUAACUCGUUUUUGGGCUUUAGGGUUCAGAGACCAAGCGAAAGUGAUAAGUUAGCCACCUGGGGAGUACGCUCGCAAGAGUGAAACUCACAGGAAUUGACGGGGGCCCGCACAAGCGGUGGAUUAUGUGGUUUAAUUCGAUGAUACGCGAGGAACCUUACCAAGACUUAAAUGGGAAUUGACAGCUUUAGAAAUAGAGCUUUCUUCGGACAAUUUUCAAGGUGCUGCAUGGUUGUCGUCAGCUCGUGCCGUGAGGUGUUAGGUUAAGUCCUGCAACGAGCGCAACCCCUGUCACUAGUUGCCAUCAUUCAGUUGGGGACUCUAGUGAGACUGCCUACGCAAGUAGAGAGGAAGGUGGGGAUGACGUCAAAUCAUCACGGCCCUUACGUCUUGGGCCACACACGUAAUACAAUGGCCGGUACAGAGGGCAGCUACACAGCGAUGUGAUGCAAAUCUCGAAAGCCGGUCUCAGUUCGGAUUGGAGUCUGCAACUCGACUCUAUGAAGCUGGAAUCGCUAGUAAUCGCGCAUCAGCCAUGGCGCGGUGAAUACGAUGCCGGGCCU